GGCCACGCCCUUAGUCGGGAGGGACCGGGCGGGGUUGGUUUGAACCGUUGGCUGGGCUUGAUUGGGCUCCUAGCAGCAAUAGCAACAUCUUCAUCUGGUCCCCGGGCCUGAAAGCUGUCAGGGAGGGUGUAGGGCGGAGAAGACUGCAGAGGAACAGAGGAGGAGCCUGAGGCCUGGGGGGUGGAUUGAGUCCCCCGAGGCAACUCAGUUCCCUGCUCCCCACUUCUGUAGUGACCCCUGUAGUCUCACGCGUUUGUGUGUGGGUGCCAGUCCCUUCCUCAAGCAGGGCCCAGAGCUCUGCUCAAACCCUCGUCAUCUUGGACCGCGCGAGGCAAGUUACUUCCCCGCUGCGCCAUUAUGUCCUGAAAAUCAUGGUUUAUUUAGCUGAGCUAUCUUCAAGAAAAGCAAUCCAGCUAAGCAGGGAUCCUUUUCAACACAUCUGCAUACUAUUGAAUGAGCACAAUGAGCAGUGAAGAAGAAACCUGGGAGAAACUGGAUGCUGAAUUUGAUCACUAUGUUGUGGAUAUGAAGCCUUUCGUUUUGAAACUGCCCCAUAAAUCAGAACGUCAGAGAUGUGCUCUUUGGAUUAAAAAACUCUGCGAGCCUUCAGGUGCAGGCACAGGAGUUGUUGGUAGGAAGAACCGGAACUUACAUGCAAAACUCCUGCUGCAUAUGCUGAAGAGGGGUGUUCUGGAAGGUCCUUUUACCCAUAAGCCAGAAACAGGAAUAUUAAAAACCCUUCCUUCAUACAUGUCUAUCUAUUUUGAUGAACCAAAUUCAACAAGAGUGUGGAAUGACAGCUCCGAAGGUUUACCUGACUGGGUUAUGGGAGAACUUGGACAAAGUGAUACUAAGAUGGAUGAAUCCUGGAAGCACUCUUUUAAAGAGGAGUCUGCUUUGGUAACCUCACCACUUGUGCACAGGGAACAACUUACAUACAAUGGAAAAAUAGUACUAAAGUCACAUUCCAUGAGUCCACCUCAUCCAUCAGAUGAUGUCUUCUCUUCAAAGAUGCCUGAAGAUCAUCGCACAAAAAAAUUUUCUUUGGAUGACAGUGAUCUUGAAGUUCGCCUCAACAGCUGGAAUCUGGGGUUGGAAAAUCCCAGAUAUUUACGUGAGAAGCCUAUACACCUGUCACUGAUGUCACCCAAGAUUGGUGUGGGGAAAAACAGCAGCUUGCGAGAUGAGCAGUCAUUGUUCCGCAUGCAUGAAAAAGAGCUGGAGAUGAAAACAAAACUUAUGGAAGCUAGAAUUCAUGAAGAAAAGCUCAAAUUACAGCAGAAGCAUGAUUCAGAUGUUCAGAAGAUUUUGGACAGAAAGAAUAAUGAAAUUGAGGUACUGAAGGCCAUGUACAAAACUAAACAGAGUGAAGCUGAAGAGACUAUUCGAAAGCUUGAAAAAAAAGUUCAGACGCUUGUCCGUGAGUCACAAGUCGUUAGAGAAGCUAAAGAAAAACAGAUUGUGGAACUAAAAAAGUUAUGUGAGCAAAGUACGGAUUCCCUGAAUAAUGAGUGGGAGAAACGGCUUCAUAAUGCUGUGGCUGAAAUGGAAAAGGAAAAGUUUGAUCUUCAGAAGAAACACACGGAAAAUAUCCAGGAAUUGCUGGAGGAUACAAAUGCACGUCUAAGUAAAAUGGAAGCGGAAUAUUUGGCACAAACCAAGGCAACUACUCAGAUGGUCAAAGAAUUGGAGGCGCGUGUCCAUCAGUUGACCCUUGAAGCUGAAACCAGUAACUUGCAGCGUCAGAAAUUAUCACAAGAAAAGACAAGUCUGGAACAAUCCUACCAGGCUAUGUGCACAGAAUUUGAAGAAGUCAAGGCAAGGUGCAACUCACUUCAGAAAGAGAAGGGGCGUAUUGUGCAUGAUUGUGAGCAGAACAUUCAAGAGCUACAAAGCAAAUAUGAUACUGACCUAAAUUUGAUGAACCAGGAACAUGCACUUUCUGCAGCUAAGGCAUCUGAUGUGAUUGAAGAAUUAGAACAGUGUGUGUCUCAAUUAAAACAACAGUUACUAGAAUCAGAACAUCAAAGGCAGCAACAGCUGAGGGACCAAGAGCAGGCAUUUCUACAGGAGAAACUUCAUUCAGAGAGAUCUCAUGAUAAAAAGAUUCAUGGAUUACAGAAUGACUUCGAUAAAGAGAGAGCGGAUUCUCAUAGGAGGAUACGAAAGUUGGAAGACAUUCUGAAAGAGAAGGAGGAGCAGCUGACUCGGGUGAUGGAGGUACAGAGGCUGCAGGCCCAGCAGGCUGAUGCUGCCCUGGAGGAGUUUAAGCGGCAGGUGGAGCUGAACUCAGAAAAGGUCUAUGCUGAAAUGAAAGAGCAGAUGGAAAAGGUAGAAGCAGAUCUAAGCAGAUCAAAAUCUCUUCGUGAAAAGCAAUCCAAAGAAUUCUCCUGGCAGCUGGAAGACCUCAAGCAAAGAUAUGAACAACAGAUAGUAGAGCUGAAGCUGGAGCAUGAACAGGAGAAGACGCACCUAUUCCAACAGCAUAACACAGACAAGGAUUGCCUGGUCCGAGAACAUGAACAGGAAAUGGAAAAACUAGAAAAACAGCUUCGGGCUGCCAUGACAGAGUACGACAAUAAAACUCAAGAAUCCAGGAAGCGAGAUGCACAGGUCAUCUCUGAUAUGGAGGCUCAGAUCCAUACACUGAGAGAAGAACUUAUUCAGGUGAAAACCCAGAGAAAACAAGAACUAGUUGAACUUGGCCUUCUUAGAGAAGAAGAAAAGCAGAGAGCUGCCCUGGGCCAUGAGACUACCAUGAACAAGCUUAAAACUGAUACAGAAAAGAUGAUUCUAGAUCUGAAAAAGACUCACGCUGCAGAAAUAGAGAUGGCACUAGAAAAGGCCAACAGCAGGUUGAAGCAGAUUGAAAAGGAAUACAGUCAGAAAUGUGCCAAAUCUUCACAGAUCAUAGCUGAACUUAAGACAACCAUUUCCUCUCUGACAGAGGAAAGCAACCAGCAGCAGUUUGCUGCAGAAAAGCAUCUGCAGAAUAUUUUACAAAAGUUUGAAGAUGAGAAGCAGCAGCUGAUUAGAGAUAAUGACAGAGCAAUCAAGGGAUUGGAAAAUGAGAUUGAGAAGUAUUGCAAUCAGGUUCGCGCUACAGAAAAAAAAAUGCAACAGAGGGACUUGGAGACACAGGAACAGAUUACUUCUAUACGGCAAGAAUAUGAAACCAAACUUAAAGGUCUGAUGCCCACAUCUGUGAGACAAGAACUUGAAGACACAAUUCUAUCACUAAAAUCUCAGGUAAAUUUUCUGCAAAAAAGAGCAUCCAUCCUUCAAGAGGAAUUGAACACAUAUCGUACCAGAAGUAAACCUUUGAGAAGUCAACCCACCUCCCAGCACCUCCGUGCUUAGUCAGUGCUAUGAGAACAAGAUCAGAGCACUUGCAGGUGCUUUGCAAGCCUGGGCCUUGCCUCAGCAUUCAUGACGAGACGGUGGCUCAACACAUCGCUGCAGGUAACCACUGGAGCAGAUUGAUUUGCUAAAGUGUCCAAUGGACUUCUUUCAACAGGUUUGAAGAUUUGGAUCUUCUGAACUAAUCUGAGAGAUCAGUGGUGGUUUUGUUAAAAGCAGACAAUGUAAUUAAGUUCAGGAAAGCACAUCCCUCAUUCAUAACAGUAUUUUAAGUUACCACUUAUUUGAAUUAUUUUAUCAUUAUAUUUCAGAUAUUUAUCCUUUUGAUAUAUUCAAUAUUUGUGUGUGCCAAUAUGCUUAUUGAAAAGCUUAAUUUUUGCUUGCUCAUAAUUACUUUUGUUAUUGGCUUCUUGAUGCAGUUUUGUUCACUUUUACAUAUGCUCAAAAUCACGUCCUUAUAAUCAUCAUCAUCAUCAUCAUCAUCAUCAUCAUUAUUAUAUUGUCCAGAAUAUUUUAAAAAAACAUGACAUUGUUUUCCUGUUCACAUGUUACACAAUAUUAAAGUAUCUUUUGUACA